CUGCCUCUUCCAUUCAUUCCCCAGCUGGGAGGGCUCAGUGCUGCAGUACCUCUUGCUGAGCUGCUCAGAGCACGCUGCUCCUCUUCAACAUACUUAUCGACUGUACCACUGUGUGUGUGACAAAGGACCUUUCUGAAGUGCCCAUGGCUCCAAUUCUGCUGCAGCUGUGGAACUCCCUCCUAUGUGUGUGGAAGCUGGCCCCAUGGCUUGCAUCCUCUCAUGGCAGCUCUCAU
rnacentral:lncRNA from 1 species